rnacentral:rRNA from 1 species
CGGAAGAUGUAACGGGGCUAAGCUAUACACCGAAGCUGCGGCUACGUACUUAUGUGCGUGGGGUAGGGGAGCGUUCUGUAAGCCGUUGAAGGUGGUCUGUAAGGGCUGCUGGAGGUAUCAGAAGUGCGAAUGCUGACAUGAGUAACGAUAAAGGGAGUGAAAAACUCCCUCGCCGGAAGACCAAGGGUUCCUGUCCAACGUUAAUCGGGGCAGGGUAAGUCGACCCCUAAGGCGAGGCCGAAAGGCGUAGUCGAUGGGAAACGGGUUAAUAUUCCCGUACUUCUUACAAUUGCGAUGGGGGGACGGAGAAGGCUAGGUGGGCCUGGCGACGGUUGUCCAGGUUCAAGUACGUAGGCGGAAGAAUUAGGUAAAUCCGGUUCUUCAUUAACGCUGAGAUACGAUGUCGAGCUACUACGGUAGUGAAGUCAUUGAUGCCAUGCUUCCAGGAAAAGCCUCUAAGCUUCAGAUUGUAAGGAAUCGUACCCCAAACCGACACAGGUGGUCGGGUAGAGAAUACCAAGGCGCUUGAGAGAACUCGGGUGAAGGAACUAGGCAAAAUGGUACCGUAACUUCGGGAGAAGGUACGCUCUUAUCAGUGAAGUCCCUUGCGGAUGGAGCAGACGAGAGUCGCAGAUACCAGGUGGCUGCAACUGUUUAUUAAAAACACAGCACUGUGCAAAAUCGUAAGAUGACGUAUACGGUGUGACGCCUGCCCGGUGCCGGAAGGUUAAUUGAUGGGGUUAGACUUCGGUCGAAGCUCUUGAUCGAAGCCCCGGUAAACGGCGGCCGUAACUAUAACGGUCCUAAGGUAGCGAAAUUCCUUGUCGGGUAAGUUCCGACCUGCACGAAUGGCGUAAUGAUGGCCACGCUGUCUCCACCCGAGACUCAGUGAAAUUGAAAUCGCUGUGAAGAUGCAGUGUACCCGCGGCUAGACGGAAAGACCCCGUGAACCUUUACUACAGCUUGGCACUGAACAUUGAACCUACAUGUGUAGGAUAGGUGGGAGACUUUGAAACCGCGUCGCUAGAUGUGGUGGAGUCGUCCUUGAAAUACCACCCUUGUAGUUUUGAUGUUCUAACGUUGGUCCCUGAAUCGGGAUUACGGACAGUGCCUGGUGGGUAGUUUGACUGGGGCGGUCUCCUCCCAAAGAGUAACGGAGGAGCACGAAGGUGGGCUAAACACGGUUGGACAUCGUGUGGUUAGUGCAAUGGCAUAAGCCCGCUUGACUGCGAGAAUGACAAUUCGAGCAGGUGCGAAAGCAGGUCAUAGUGAUCCGGUGGUUCUGAAUGGAAGGGCCAUCGCUCAACGGAUAAAAGGUACUCCGGGGAUAACAGGCUGAUACCGCCCAAGAGUUCAUAUCGACGGCGGUGUUUGGCACCUCGAUGUCGGCUCAUCACAUCCUGGGGCUGAAGUCGGUCCCAAGGGUAUGGCUGUUCGCCAUUUAAAGUGGUACGCGAGCUGGGUUUAGAACGUCGUGAGACAGUUCGGUCCCUAUCUGCCGUGGGCGUUGGAAAAUUGAAGGGGGCUGCUCCUAGUACGAGAGGACCGGAGUGGACGAACCUCUGGUGUUCGGGUUGUCAUGCCAAUGGCAUUGCCCGGUAGCUAAGUUCGGAAUCGAUAACCGCUGAAAGCAUCUAAGCGGGAAGCGAGCCCUGAGAUGAGUUUUCCCUGACGCUUUAAGCGUCCUAAAGGGUUGUUCAAGACUAGAACGUUGAUAGGCAGGGUGUGUAAG